rnacentral:piRNA from 1 species
CACAGCUUGCAAUGGUCACGCAAAGGAUCUGU